CCAAUAAAAUAGGAUAUAUACCAUAUUAAUAGUAACAGUCUUUAUAUUAAUGUGAUUUCAAAUAAUAUUCAUUUGCACUUUCAGUGAUUUGGUUAUAGGGCACCUUGGAUACAACACAUAUUAAAUUCUUACAUCUGUUCCAGGAAUGGAUGGAUUGCUUUUUAUUGUUUUCACCCACAGAAUAUCAGUAACACCACAUUCUUAAUUUUAUUGGGAUCCCAUAAAUCUAAAAGCUUAAAAUGUUAUUAAAAAGGCCGUCACCACUGCCAUCUGGGAGGGCACUUCUUAUUCUCUUUCCAUAACUUCCACACAAAGAAGACACAGGUGCCCAAUGCUAAAACCUUUUUGCCAAGGUUGGCUUAAGGUUUUUAAAUGGCUAAAGGCAUGCUCAGCCAGUCACUCACUUAAAACUUUUAAAGCUUCAGUUUUCAAUGAACAAUUGCUCUUGGAAAAACCUGCACUGGAUUCCAGCCGGCACUCCAUAGCAGUGCCUACAACUUUGUUGUCAAGAUGCCAACUGUGCAAGGCUCAAACCAAAGUGUCCCACUGUGUCUGGAUCCUUCCGGUCAAUAGUUAUCAUCUCUGCAAGGCUCAAAUGCUCCCCAGCCAGGAAGGUGCAUCUUUCUCUUGCCAACUGCUCCUUUAAAUAGGCUUGCCUUGUUUCCUUUGUAAAAUAUCCACUUUCCUUUCUGUCCUGUUCUCCAACUUCUGGAGGCAAAAAGAAGCAAGAAACUGCAAAGUGACACCAUCUCCUCAUUUGCAACUUGCCUAUCACCUCCUCCUCAGAAGCCAGUUCAGUCUCUUUUGUGGCAGCAACUAUGGUCUUUGGGGCAGGUCACCAUAGCUGUCAAUUGAUAUCUAUCUUUAGUCAAUUCUUAACUAUCACCUUUAACAUCAGUUUGUUGAGAAGGUAACUGCACCAGCAUUGGAAAAGAGUGUUCAUGGGGGCUUCCGGAAAUCUGAAUCAACCAGAACACGGGAGGAGUGAGGCUUGCUUUAAGGAAGUUGUGGUAAUCUAGAUGCUUCCACUCCAGCCCCUGGCAAUACUGUACAUGAAUUCAACAAUAGGAGAGACAGCAAGGCUUAGCUAUGAGUAAGAAAAAACAUAAACACUCCCAGUGACUCCACCUAUGAAGCCACUCAAUGAGGGUGAUAUUGGUAUAGGACUCUAGAACAUUCUCAGUGGACCUCAGUUCCUGGUGCCUCUCACUGAGCAUUGCACGGUGUCAUAAAUCUCCUCUUUAAAAGGAGGUAGAGGUAUUUUUCAUAUAGCAUGGUCCUUAAUCAUGAGCCAAUGACUUCAAAAAAGAAAUGGAAACAGUGGAUUAAUUUCCAACUCUAGACUUAUAAGAGAUGCUAUGUCUGGCUCUGACUUGGCAAACGAAAGGAUAUUCAAGAAUUAUUUUUUAAACGUGAUUUUUGUCUUAAGUGAUUCUCUGACCUGAUGAUGGCCACUGGACUAGAGAUAGAAAAUAGUUUUCCACUCAAAAGCCAACUCCAGUUGACUGGUAGUGGCUCUGGAGCUUUGCUUUGAAGAAGGAAUCUGAGGCUCUGUGGAAAAAAGUGCAAUGGUUGAUUAGCAAUGUCUGCCAGGGGCCCAGAAAUAGGGAGUGGCUACAGAAGUGUCACUCACUUGCUUUUUUUCAGACUGGACCAAGGCUGAGUUUGUGUUUUUGAUUUCUAAACAUCAGACAUUUGAUUUUUUUUUUUUUUUCUUGAUGGAGCCCAGGCCAUGUGAGGUUUUUAUUCCUGGCCAUGUGAGGGAGAGGGGAGUUGAGGGGCUUGGGAGGAAUAAUAUGGAAGUUAGAUCAAGGUCAGCACUUUUUUUGGUAAAGAACCAGAGAGUAAAUAGUUUAGCCUUAGUGAUACACAUGGGUUUCAGUUAUGACAAUGUAACUCUGCCGCUUAGUGGAAGAGUGCCAGAGACAACAUAGACACAAAUGGGCAUGGCUGUGUGCCAAUAAAACUUUAUCUACAAAAACAGGUCGUGGCCUACUGACCUAUGAUCUAGACUAUGGAUAGGAGAUAAUGCACAGAUGAAAUGGGAGGGUGCAAUCAGGAGGACAUUUGCUUCUGAACAGGAAUUCAGGGGCAAACCUGACCUGAACAGCUCCCCUUGAAGUAAUGGAGAAGUCUGCAUUUCUGAGACAUGAGACAUUCCUUUCAAUUAAUAGUAAUGCAAACAUGGGCACCCCCACACGAAAGCAAAACGCGGCUGCCCCUACCACUGUGGUUUAAGAGCCAAAUGCUCACGUAGGCACCAUUUUGGUAAUCUAAAGUUUCCAGCUAGUGAGCAAGACACUUUCUCCAGAAGGCCCUUGGAAAGUAAACCUGUCUCCAUGGAACACUUAAUAAAACAACCCACCAGCUUUGGGGAACAUAUUAGCUAAUAGACAGCGGGGCUGUGAUGGAGGCAGACAUGGGGCACGCACAUUUUGAAUGGAAAAUGCUGUAAAAUAAGGAAAUAAAAUCAGAAAAGCAUCAUGGCUCACUGCACUGGAUGGGCAGGGUAGGUUUGAAUAUGGCAGAAAACAAGACAGCCUCUCCUGAAAUGGAGGCCACCAGCACUUGGGAGAUACUGUGUGGAUUUCGACAAAGGGACAAGGCACUCUCAGAGUGGGGGUGGCUGUGGCUGGGGAGAAUUUCAAACAGGGAAGAGAAGAAGCCUGGGGCACUCGCUCCCAAGUUCAACGUGAGAAGGACGCUUAAAGUGUGUUUAUGCAGAAAACAGGCAGGUAAAAAGCUCAGGGUUUCAAGUCAGAUUGUACCCAACCUGGGGUAAAAAUCCCAGCUUUGCUCUAACUGCUCUUAGCCUUUGGAGGAAUCCUGAGCUACUGCUAAGGGGUUAGCCUGGUGGUACAGUGGCCACUAGCAUCCAUCCUUUUUCUUGGUGUGGUAAUCCCAAUUUUAUACAUUAUCCAUCCUCAUACGCCCCAUGUGUUGACCCCAGGCCUCCUUCAGGGGCAAACCUAAUUGGCAUAAACUGGCAUAAACUGAUUAGCAUGGGACAUAACCAGUCUCAGGACUACGGCUUGGAAUUCUGGGAUAAAGUUACCCUCUCUUCUUGGUACAUGUAAAGCACAGACGUGAGGGUUAAACUGCCACAGCCAGUCUUACCACAGUAAAGGAAAAAUGUGACAAUAAAGCACCCACGUGGAAAGGGCAGAAAGAGAGAAUUCAAGGAACUGUGUCAGCCUCUUGAUCAAACCUCACCUGAAAUUAGAAAUGUUGGAUUUCUCAGUCACAUGAGCCAAUAAACAUCCUUUACUGUUUAAGACAGUCCGAACUGGAGUUUCCGUUGCUCAUAUGGACUCUUCUUGCUCCAAGAUCCCUACACCUUCCAGCAACGCCAACAAAACUCCACCCUUCCCUCAAAUAUACCAGAUUUCCUGACAACGAAUGCGAUUUCCUAGUACACAGAGCAGACCCUGGCUUGCUGCCCUCAGGCUGUGUAGCAAAAGGACAAAGGAAUAAGGCUGAACUGGACGGCUUCCCACCUUCCCCUCUGAGCCCAUCUCAUGCUCGUGACUGUUCCCUCUGUCCUGACAUUCCUUUUGGGAUGAUUUGCCAUCCGAGUCUAGUCGACUUCAGAGUUCAAAGCCAAUAUCAGCUCUGACACGCUCAUAAAUCUGUGUGUCCUACUGGCAUUCUUGCGCAAAGGAGUGAAUGUGUGAGUGUCUGAGUGAGUGUGCACGUGUGUUUGUGAGUGAGCACAAGCGUGCGGGAGCAUAUGUGGUGUGUGUACAAGCGAUUCUGGAUAAGUACUCCCCCUCAGGGUAAACUGUCAAACUGAUGUCUUGUGAUGACAGAAAGUAGUUAUGACCUAGGACUGGCCACAGAGAAGAAAAAAAAAUAGCAUCACAGUUUACCCAGAGGCCACAGCAGUCUAUUUAAUAAGAGUGAAUAAGAGAACAGCCAUGGAAGAAAGAAAAGAGGCAAUGAGAGUUUUAUUGCAACAGAAAACGCUAUCAUCUAAUGUCUGAAAAUCUGUACGUGGCCUAUGGAACAGGAGCUGCAAACCCAAGAAGGUCAGCCCAGUGAAACCUGAGUUCCGAGGGCCAUGAGAUGGCAGGCCCGAUGCAAGGGGGGCACUGCGUGUUGACAAGUGGUAAUGGUGUUGACAAGUGGUAAUGGUGGCCCCAUGGUGCCGGAGAAUUCUGAAUGCUCAACAGAGUACACCAGUCAAGUUAUCCAGGUUUCUACAGAGACCAUCCCAACUUUCUAGAUGGUGGCUACUAAUCCACAUUGUAAUUCCAAUUGCCACCUCUGCUCGCAUACUCAGUUGCUUCUUUAGAUUUGAAAAGAUUUAACUUAGGACCCCUUUAAAGUCCUGUUACAUAUAUGACUCAACUCACAAAAAGUACAAAUGGCCGCCCCAACUUAGUCUGAAGCCAGGUAUGCUUGGGUGAUGAUAAAUGUGCCUGAGCAACACCUAGGAUAGAGAGGGAGGGGCUGACAGCACUGGAUUUCUGGAAUCUAUUUCUCAUCCCACAGGAUAUGAAUCACUCAGUGCCCCGUCCCCCUGUGGGAUAAAUAUAUUUGUCACAAGCAUGAAGAAUUAGAAACUGUUCUGUCUCGUUGACUUCAUAAAAAUAUUUGCCUGAACAGUUUCCAGUUCCAAAGCUGACCUUCCCACUCCGUUCUAGGGGGACUUUGAAGAAGUCUAUCAGAACUACAGGAGUGAGUAGCUUAUAAAAUCCCGGACAACUCUCUGGGGAUGUGGCUGUCAUACAAUUCACACUGAAAUUUCAAUUCGUGAUAGACUAGCUUCAAUUCCUAGUUUCAACAUCCACUUCUCAGAGUGGAAGAUUUCCAAGGAUCAUGCUUUUGAGCAAUCAUCUAGAUCAAAUCCAAAUAAAUCCCUGACUGAGUGAUUUUUAAAGUUGUCUUCAAGCCGAGUUGCAGAAACAAGUGGCUGAGUGCUCAGAAAUAUAGCAGGAAUAUUUCCCUUCUUGCUGAUCUAGCUAGAAAUCUCACUUCUCUGUGCAUGACAAUGAAACGGGUAACAUUUAUUGUGUGCUUACUACGUGCCAAGCACUACUUUAGGCACUUUUCAUCUGUGAGCUCCUUCAUGCGCCCACCAACCCUAUGAAGCAGGUCCUAUAUAUUCAUUAUUACUCUCCCCAUUUUUUCAGAUGAGGCAGAGGAGGGUUAAGACAAUUACACCAGGUUUUCCGGCCAGUGGGUGGUGGAGCCAGGUUUCAAAGGCUUGCAAGGCUUAACUGCCUCACUGGGUUAAAAAGCAGAUUCAAAAGACCUUUUGGAUUAUGACAAUGGCAAGAUAAACUGAGGCCACUUAAGUCACAGGAAAAGGACACCUGGAAUGUAGAAGAGCUUGUCUUUGGAAUCAGACUAUAUGGCAGACUGGCCAAUCUUCAGAAGGCUGAUUUUAUUUUGACUGCUUUCUUUCUUUCUUUCUUUCUU
rnacentral:lncRNA from 1 species